AGUGGGGAAUAUUGGACAAUGGGCGAAAGCCUGAUCCAGCCAUGCCGCGUGUGUGAAGAAGGUCUUCGGAUUGUAAAGCACUUUAAGUCGGGAGGAAGGGCAGUAAGUUAAUACCUUGCUGUUUUGACGUUACCGACAGAAUAAGCACCGGCUAACUUCGUGCCAGCAGCCGCGGUAAUACGAAGGGUGCAAGCGUUAAUCGGAAUUACUGGGCGUAAAGCGCGCGUAGGUGGUUCAGCAAGUUGAAGGUGAAAUCCCCGGGCUCAACCUGGGAACUGCCUCCAAAACUACUGAGCUAGAGUACGGUAGAGGGUAGUGGAAUUUCCUGUGUAGCGGUGAAAUGCGUAGAUAUAGGAAGGAACACCAGUGGCGAAGGCGACUACCUGGACUGAUACUGACACUGAGGUGCGAAAGCGUGGGGAGCAAA
rnacentral:rRNA from 1 species